rnacentral:rRNA from 1 species
GACGAACGCUGGCGGCGCGCUUAACACAUGCAAGUCGAGCGAGAACCAGUCCUUCGGGACUGGGGACAGCGGCGAACGGGUGAGUAACACGUGGGUAAUCUGCCCUCGGCACCGGAAUAGCCCGGGGAAACCCGGAUUAAUGCCGGAUGGCCUCUCUGCCCCUCGGGGCGGCGAGAAAAGGUAGCUUCGGCCUCCGGCCGAGGAUGAGCCCGCGGCCGAUUAGCUUGUUGGUGGGGUAACGGCUCACCAAGGCGACGAUCGGUAGCUGGUCUGAGAGGACGAUCAGCCACACUGGGACUGAGACACGGCCCAGACUCCUACGGGAGGCAGCAGUGGGGAAUCUUGCGCAAUGGGCGAAAGCCUGACGCAGCGACGCCGCGUGCGGGAAGAAGGCCUUCGGGUUGUAAACCGCUUUCAGGAGGGACGAAGCCACUCGGGUGAAUAGCCUAGAGGGUGACGGUACCUCCAGAAGAAGCCCCGGCUAACUACGUGCCAGCAGCCGCGGUAAUAC